UACGGAGGGUGCAAGCGUUAUCCGGAAUCACUGGGUUUAAAGGGUGCGUAGGCGGCCAGCACAAGUCAGUUGUGAAAUCUCCGAGCUUAACUCGGAAAGGUCAACUGAUACUGUGCGGCUAGAGUGCGGAAGGGGCAACUGGAAUUCUCGGUGUAGCGGUGAAAUGCGUAGAUAUCAAGAGGAACACCUGCGGCGAAGGCGGGUUGCUGGGCCGACACUGACGCUGAUGCGCGAAAGCCAGGGGAGCGAACGGG
rnacentral:rRNA from 1 species